rnacentral:rRNA from 1 species
CCGCCCGUCACAUCACGAAAGUGGAUUGUACUAGAAGUCUGCAGGCUAACCGAAAGGAAGCAGCGGCCCAAGGUAUGAUUCAUGAUUGGGGUG